AUUAGGCUCUCCACCAGGAAUGUUGCUUAGAUUCUGAAGUUGACACUGAACAUUGGUGUUGACUGGGAACUGGCCAAGUCAGUUCCAGCAGAGUGCUGGAUCAGAUCUUCUCGUAAGCAAGUUAAGAGAUUGUCGGAAUUUACUGCUGUUUCCAUAGGCUUCCCCAGCUGCUCCCACACAUCAGCAAACCUACCUGGAUCAAAGCUGUGAAAAUUUGACCAAGUGCCCAGAAGCUUCUGAUUGGUCAGGGACCCACCAUACAGGUCUAAGCUCGGAUCAAAGGGAUAUUUUCAUCUAGUUAACGCUAUUCCACCAAACAUCAUCAAGGUAAUGACAGGCUGUGGAAAGAAAAUGGAUCUGCUUUUCCCCAGUGCCAAAUAAAAGGAACCAAGAGAUUGGAUUGCUCAGAAUCCCAAAUGGAAUUCGGGAUACAGCCUCCAAAAAAGUAGCAGACCCACGCAGUCAUACUAUAUUCUCCUGAGGUGAAUGGAAAUUGGAAAGUUGAGGAGCCCGACAGAAUGGCGGAUUGAAGAUUGUGAUGAAAGAUACCCAGAAAUCAAACAGCAGCCCUGAUCCUUGUCCUGGGUAAACUGUGAGUGAACAGGCCCCACUGGGGAGACAUGCGGCCUACUCGGAACCCUGGGUCGAAUGGACAUCUUACCGCUUAGAUUCAUGAAAAGUCCAGUUGGGAUCGGAUGUUAAAGGAGGUGUCUUUGGGGAAUGGGGCACAUGUGCAGGCACUAUUGGGGCAUAUUAAAGAUUGGAUCAACACUUGUCAAAAAAAGAAGAGGAAGAUGAGCACCUGAUCAACUGAAGUCCGUUGAUUUUUAAUUUGGUUGGAACUGCUUUGAACGAGCCUCUGAAGUGACACAUGUUGAGGCCAUGUUGGAGGAAGUGCAGUGGUUCGGUUUAUGGGGGUCACGAUCACAUUGGCCAAAACCGACCCAGACAAUAGCUCCACCCUCCCCCCUCACCCACCACCACCACCUCCACGCACCCCCGUCCCACCCAAACCCACGCCCCCACCCCUACCUCACGCUGCUUCUGACAAGGGUGUCAGUCACGAAUGUCCACCAACUGCUCCGAAAUUGCAGUAAUGGGCAUUAGAG